rnacentral:lncRNA from 1 species
AGGCAUCCACAUCUGUUGUCAGUGAGGAUAGCCUGGUUGCUCCAGGUGCUUGUGAUCAGAGGUUCAGAGGACUCAGGGCUGAGCCAUGGCAAACAAGCACCAUCAGAAGGUAUUAGGGUGUCUGACUACCCCAAGAAGUUCAAGCUUGAAGCUAGCUCCACUCCCGAGGGCUUUUGACACAUCCUGGGAGAUGAGGGAACCUGGGCCACUGGAUGCCAUCAACCUCACCACCAAGCCGGUUGCCUCCUACUUCGAGGACUACACAGUGUCAAACCCAUAGCGACCAUGGCGCAGGACAUGGGUGUACAGGGAUGUGCAGCACAGCUUCAAAAGGCAGUGCGGGCCCCAGUACCCAGGAACUUGCCCAACCACACUGAGUCUGAAAAUGAAAUACACAGCCUCCAGCGACUGGAUGAAAACACACAAUAAC